rnacentral:rRNA from 1 species
CGUAGGGUGCGAGCGUUGUCCGGAAUUAUUGGGCGUAAAGAGCUCGUAGGCGGUUUGUUGCGUCGGCCGUGAAAACUUCACGCUUAACGUGGAGCUUGCGGUCGAUACGGGCAGACUUGAGUUCGGUAGGGGAGACUGGAAUUCCUGGUGUAGCGGUGAAAUGCGCAGAUAUCAGGAGGAACACCGGUGGCGAAGGCGGGUCUCUGGGCCGAUACUGACGCUGAGGAGCGAAAGCGUGGGGAGCGAACAGGAUUAGAUACCCUGGUAGUCCACGCCGUAAACGUUGGGCGCUAGGUGUGGGGCUCUUUCCACGGGUUCCGUGCCGUAGCUAACGCAUUAAGCGCCCCGCCUGGGGAGUACGGCCGCAAGGCUA